rnacentral:rRNA from 1 species
CGGGUGGGUAAUGCGUGACCAACCUGCCCCAUGCUCCAGAAUAGCUCUUGGAAACGGGUGGUAAUGCUGGAUGCUCCAACUUGACGCAUGUCUUGUUGGGAAAGUGUUUAGUGGCAUGGGAUGGGGUCGCGUCCUAUCAGCUUGUAGGCGGGGUAAUGGCCCACCUAGGCUUCGACGGGUAGCCGGCCUGAGAGAGCGGACGGCCACAUUGGGACUGAGAUACGGCCCAGACUCCUACGGGAGGCAGCAGCC